CCCUUAGAUGUUCUGGGCUGCACGCGCGCUACACUGAUGCGUUCAACGAGUUUAUGACCUUGCCCGAUAGGGUUGGGUAAUCUUUUUAAAUCGCAUCGUGAUGGGGAUAGAUUAUUGCAAUUAUUAAUCUUCAACGAGGAAUUCCUAGUAAGCGCGAGUCAUCAGCUCGUGCUGAUUACGUCCCUGCCCUUUGUACACACCGCCCGUCGCUCCUACCGAUUGAAUGGUCCGGUGAAAUCUCGGGACGGCGGCUUGGUCGCUUGCGUCCGACUGCUGAAACUUGAUUAAACCAUAUCAUUUAGAGGAAGGUGAANUCGUAACA
rnacentral:rRNA from 1 species